rnacentral:rRNA from 1 species
UGCCAGCAGCCGCGGUAAUACGGAGGAUGCAAGCGUUAUCCGGAUUUAUUGGGUUUAAAGGGUGCGCAGGCGGCCUUAUAAGUCAGUGGUGAAAUCUUACGGCUCAACCGUAAAACUGCCAUUGAUACUGUAGGGCUAGAGUACAGACGAGGUAGGCGGAAUGUAGCAUGUAGCGGUGAAAUGCUUAGAUAUGCUACAGAACACCGAUCGCGAAGGCAGCUUACCAGACUGUAACUGACGCUAAUGCACGAAAGCGUGGGGAGCAAACAGGAUUAGAUACCCUGGUAGUCCACGCUGUAAACGAUGAUCACUCGAUGUUGGCGAUAUACAGUCAGCGUCCAAGCGAAAGUAUUAAGUGAUCCACCUGGGGAGUACGAUCGCAAGGUUGAAACUCAAAGGAAUUGACGG